AAUCAACGCUGGCGGCGUGCCUCAGACAUGCAAGUCGAACGAUUAAACUUCCCUUCGGGGAAGAUAUAAAGUGGCGCACGGGUGAGUAACACGUAGGUAAUGUACCUUUGGGUGGGGAAUAACUUAGGGAAACUUAAGCUAAUACCGCAUAAUGCAGCGGCUCCUUCGGGAGACAGUUGUUAAAGAUUUAUCGCCUAAAGAGCAGCCUGCGGCAGAUUAGCUAGUUGGUAAGGUAACGGCUUACCAAGGCUACGAUCUGUAUCCGACCUGAGAGGGUGGUCGGACACACUGACACUGAAUAACGGGUCAGACUCCUACGGGAGGCAGCAGUCGGGAAUUUUGGGCAAUGGGCGAAAGCCUGUCCCAGCAACGCCGCGUGAAGGAUGAAGUCUUUCGGGAUGUAAACUUCGUAAGAAUAGGAAGAAUAAAUGACGGUACUAUUUGUAAGGUCCGGCUAACUACGUG
rnacentral:rRNA from 1 species